UUGGUUUACACUUACACUGCUUGAGGGACAGCAAGCUAUCAUGGAAUUGCUGUAUGCUUCCUGGGAAAUGAAAAACCAAAUCUAAGAUUCUAACUCAAGCCAAUGAUAGAAGAAAAUUAUAUGUUAUGCCGGAGAUGCCAUGUGGCACCGAGUUCUAGCUUCAGCAACUGGAGCGUGAAGUACCAUUGAUUUAAUGAUCUGGGGUGCACCAAUUAUACAUCUUCAUAUUUGUGCUUGCAUUGUUUCUAUAGUGUAGUCCCAUUGCACUGGCAAAGGCUAAGAUCUUUCCAGGUUGAGGUUUAUGAGACAAACAUCUUUUCUUUUGAGGCAUACAGGCUUGUCCACAACACAAAGUCUUAGAUGGAUUGUUAGAUUCGUUAUGAUGAAAACUUUUGCUAUGGGUUGUUUGGAAUAAGACAAUGAAAAGGUAAGAGAAUAAUUCAAAGUGAAAUUUGCUGGAUACGCUCAGAUAUUUAAGUUAAUUCUUAUUUCAAUAGAGACAAUAAAAAAAAUUAAA